rnacentral:rRNA from 1 species
AUCUUUGAUUGCAUCAAGGCCAAGCUAGCAGGAUGGAAGGAAAGACAAAUGAAUAGCACGGGCCGGCGAGCGCUUGUCCGCUCUAUGCUCCUAGCCAUUCCUGUCUUUGCGCUCACCGCAAUCAAGGCCUCGGCUGGAGUUUUGAAGGAUAUUGACAAGAUAUGCAGGCGGUUCCUUUAGGCCCAAGAAGAGAAGCUGUCUGGCGGUAAAUGCAAAGUCAACUGGAAGAUGGUCUGCUCCCCGAUUGAAUUUGACGGAUUAGGAGUCAUAGAUAGUGCAAAAUUCGCAAGGGCUCUGCGACUAAGAUGGCUAUGGCUGUCGUGGGAUGAGAUUCACAGACCCUGGGCCGGUUUCCCCUUGCCAUGUGACGACCACGAUCGCCAGCUUUUUGCUGCUGCAACAAGCAUCUAUAUUGGCAAUUGUGAGGGCGCACUCUUUUGGGAAUCUACCUGGCUGGGUCCGAUGCCGCCAAAGGCGAUUGCACCGUCCCUCUUCGCCCGCUGUAGGUGCUAG